rnacentral:rRNA from 1 species
ACGGAGGGUUCCCGCGGUAACCGGAAAAAAGGGGCGUAAAGCGCACGCAGGCGGUUUGUUAAGUCAGAUGUGAAAUCCCCGGGCUCAACCUGGGAACUGCAUCUGAUACUGGCCAGCUUGAGUCUCGUAGAGGGGGGUAGAAUUCCAGGUGUAGCGGUGAAAUGCGUAGAGAUCUGGAGGAAUACCGGUGGCGAAGGCGGCCCCCUGGACGAAGACUGACGCUCAGGUGCGAAAGCGUGGGGAGCAAACAG